AACGAACGCUGGCGGCGCGCUUAACACAUGCAAGUCGAACGAGAAGGCGUAGCAAUACGCUUGUACAGUGGCGAACGGGUGAGUAAUACGUGGGCGACCUACCCUCGAGUGGGGAAUAACCCGCCGAAAGGCGGGCUAAUGCCGCGUACGCUUCCAUCUUUAUGGAGGUGGAAGGAAAGCCGUGCCGUGGGCACGGCGCUCAAGGAUGGGCUCACGUCCUAUCAGCUUGUUGGAGGGUAACGGCCUACCAAGGCUCCGACGGGUAGCUGGUCUGAGAGGGCGAUCAGCCACACUGGCACUGCGACACGGGCCAGACUCCUACGGGAGGCAGCAGUGAGGAAUAUUGCGCAAUGGGCGAAAGCCUGGCGCAGCGACGCCGCGUGGGGGA
rnacentral:rRNA from 1 species